UCGGAAUGUGCGGAGACCACUCCGUAAGGCUAAAUACGCUUCGGUGACCGAUAGUGAACCAGUACCGUGAGGGAAAGGUGAAAAGAACCCCGGGAGGGGAGUGAAAUAGAACCUGAAACCGCAUGCAUACAAACAGUAGGAGCCCUAAGGGGUGACUGCGUACCUUUUGCAUAAUGGGUCAGCGACUUACAUUCUGUGGCGAGCUUAACCGAGUAGGGAAGGCGCAGCGAAAGCGAGUUCGAAAUGAGCGUCAAGUCUCAGGGUGUAGACCCGAAACCAGAUGAGCUAUCCAUGGCCAGGUUGAAGUUGUGGUAACACACAAUGGAGGACCGAACCGACUAGUGUUGCAAAAUUAGCGGAUGAGCUGUGGAUAGGGGUGAAAGGCCAAACAAAUCUGGAGAUAGCUGGUUCUCCCCGAAAACUAUUGAGGUAGUGCCUCGUGUAUUGCUCUCGGGGGUAGAGCACUGUUUUGGCUAGGGGGACAUGGAGUCUUACCAAACCAAGGCAAACUGCGAAUACCGAGAAGUAAGAGCACGGGAGACAGAGCACCGGGUGCUAACGUCCGGACUCAAAAGGGAAACAACCCAGACCGCCGGCUAAGGUCCCGAAUAACAGCUAAGUGGAAAACGAGGUGGAAAGGCCCAGACAACCAGGAAGUUGGCUUAGAAGCAGCCAUCCUUCAAAGAAAGCGUAAUAGCUCACUGGUCGAGUCUUUCUGCGCGGAAGAUGUAACGGGGCUAAGCUGUUAACCGAAGCCGCGGAUUUGCAAGUGAUUGCAAGUGGUAGGGGAGCGUUCUGUAAGCCUGCGAAGGGGUAUUGCGAAGUAUCCUGGAGGUAUCAGAAGUGCGAAUGCUGACAUGAGUAACGUUAAAGCGGGUGAAAAGCCCGCUCGCCGAAAGCCCAAGGUUUCCUGCUCUACGUUCAUCGGAGCAGGGUGAGUCGGCUCCUAAGGCCAGGCCGAAAGGCGUAGCCGAUGGGAAUCAGGUUAAUAUUCCUGAACCGCCGUCAGAUGCGAAGGGGGGACGGAGCAUGGAAGGUCAUCCGGGUGUUGGAAGUCCCGGUACCUGCGUGUAGAAGGUCUGUAGGUAAAUCCGCAGACGAAUCUUCGAGACAAAAGGUCGUGCAACCACGGUUGCGAAGUGAUCGGAAGUGCUUCCAAGAAAAGCCUCUAAGCUCCAGUCUGACGGGACCGUACCGCAAACCGACACUGGUGGGCGAGCUGAAUAUGCUCAGGCGCUUGAGAGAACUCGGGAGAAGGAACUCGGCAAAUUGACACCGUAACUUCGGAAGAAGGUGUGCCUUUGUAGUGUGAAAGCAGAGACUGCUUGAGCAUGAAGAGGUCUCAGAGAAUAGGUGGCUGCGACUGUUUAUUAAAAACACAGCACUCUGCCAAGUCGAAAGACGACGUAUAGGGUGUGAUGCCUGCCCGGUGCUGGAAGAUUAAUUGAUGGGGUGCGAGCCCUUGAUCGAAGUCCCAGUAAACGGCGGCCGUAACUAUAACGGUCCUAAGGUAGCGAAAUUCCUUGUC
rnacentral:rRNA from 1 species